GCAGUGGCCUCCCUGGGAGGGGAGGCCGGGCGGGUGCUGUGGAACUGGCAGUAAGCUGGACAGAAUUGUGUGUGUGUGUGUCUGUGUGUGCGUGCACCGGUGUGAGUGCGCUGUGGGAGUGAGGGGAGGUGUUUCCGAGGCAGCAUUGGUGGGCCCUGGUACAUAGAUAUGGCAGUAGAAAGAACACCAACUUGGAGUUAUCGGACUGUGUUGGAUUCUUGGCACAAUCUUUGUGACCUUGGGCUGAUCUUGUCUCCUUUGAGCAUCGCCUUCCUCUCCUGGAACCUGGGGCUCUUCUCCUAGCCUCCUGCCUCCUGCCAGGCUGGUAUAAAUAAGGGAGGGAGGGGAAAAGGGAGGAGGAGAAGAGGAGAGAGAGGAAGAGGUUGUAACAGAACCUGUUAGAAAGGCAGAGCCGAUGAUCUGGGAGGCAAGAAGGGAUGUGCAGCAGGUGCAGGCAGGUGCAGGAGGAGGUAGCCAGCUGGUCCGGGAGGACAUCCCUGUCCAUCUGGGGAUUCUGAAUCCUGUGAAAGCACCUACACAGAGGCUAAUGAGCUGCUUGUAAUCCAGAGACUAUCGAUUUUUCCUAGUAUUUGAAUCUCAGCCUUUGUGAUCUGGAAGAGUCCGGUGUUGACCCAUCUACAGCAUCAACAGCCUCCCUUAGCACAUCCCUCCCAUAUUCUGGCCAGGCAUCACCUUAAAACAGUGAGGCUUUCCUGGGUCUUAGAGGUCACUUGGGUGGCCUCUCCUAUCUGGGCCUGUCUCUGUUCAAGUGGCAGGGCCGACUGUCCCCUUUAUCAGUGACUUGCAGCUUGCCUGAGUUUUGUGAAAAGCUUGUCAUUGUCCGUUAGAAAAUAAAGACAGAAACCUCUCCUUUGGAUUUGCGUUGCAAUGACUUGCUUUUGUUCUGACUCCAGUAUUUUGCUGGGUUGUUAUGAAUCAGUCACUUAAUUUUUUUUUUUUUUAAGUGUGACAAGCACAUUAGUCUUCCUAUGAGAAGCCAGGCUUAUGGGAUGCAAGUCAGGUGAUUUUUUUCCUAGCGUAAGUCAGACUCCUACCCCUUCCCCCCAUGGGGGAGCGAUCUGAUGUGUUCUUCUUUAUCCUGACUUAUGAGGACCUGAGGGGACAUACUUGUGAGAUCCUUCCUUUGUGUGUUGCUGCUGUCUUGUCUCCAGGCAGCAGCUGUUGUUGGGGCUGCACUUAAGAGUUUGCAUCACGUCGUAUAGUCACCGUUCAUUUAUAAAAUGGGUCAACUCCAAGGGUCUCAUUCAGAGCAGAAGGGACCUUAAGGGUCAUUUGAUCCAAACCUUUCACUUUGCAGAGGAUGAAACUGAGGCCCAGAGAAGGGAAGUCACUUGGCUAAGACCACACAGCUAGUUACAGGGUGAAUCCAGUUUCCUGGCUCCAUGACCCUGAACUGACAUUAAACUUUGAAUAGUGAGCACAGUGGGGAUUCAGGGACCAUACCUAUCUUUGACCUGUUUCUAGUGGUUAUGGACUUGGUCUUUGGGGGUUGAAUUCUGAUGUGUGUCUGCUGGAUUCUGGCACCUCUGCUGUUUCUGGCCAUUUGAGGGGAGGGGGAGCAUGCUUAGCUCACCCAGAGGUGUUGGCUGCUGGGUGGCCCCUACCUGCCCCUCCCAUUUAUUGCAUUUACCUCAAAUAGAGAAACUAACCCAGUAACCAAAUGACCUGAUGGUUGGUAAAGCUGGGAGGCCGUGUUUGGGAGGUGGGUUGGGAAAGAACAAGCGUAAGUUUCCUUCUAUAAUAAAACUUGCUGAUAUAACGUUGAAAGUCACGGUCUUACUCAUCGUCAUCCAAGAUAAGUCACACAAUGGCUGAUAUCUGAGGUGCAGAGUUUCCCCCUUGAGAACACAGAGAGAUGAACUUUGUGUGGGCUGGUCAUUAGAAGAAAAACAAGAAGCCAUUGGUUGGAAACACUCUCAAUGUUAAGAGGUGGGAGAUUGCUAAACUACUACCGUCAGUGAGGCUUGACAAUGCUCAACAUAGGAAACGAUGUUCAUAACAUGAGACAUUUCGAGAUGUGGACUACAAAGUAACAAAAGUCUAAACCCAGUUGGGCAAAACUAUGGAUGAGGCUUCAAACUCAAAAAUGUGUUUUGCAUGGCCAUAGCCGAGUUUGGUGAAAUUUCAGGAGGUUUUAGCCAAUGGCGAUCCAAAGACAAUAAAUAUUGCUUCGUGGGAAGGUC